rnacentral:SRP_RNA from 5 species
GAACUUGGUUCCCCGUGCGGCGGCACCUGACUGAACUCCCCCAGGACCGAGAGGUAGCAAGGGUAGGUUGGCUCUACCGGGUGCGCGGGGAGCCCUUUUCAUGU